AGCCUUAUAGUUGAAUAAUACAACAUUAAACUGCAGAUUUAAAAGUGUGCCCCACUAAGGCUU
rnacentral:tRNA from 1 species